UGUCUGUAGUCUCGGAGCCGCCCUGGGUUGGUGGUACCCGGGGGCACCCCCAGACUUGCAGAGAAAGCACCCCCCAGAGGAAGCCGAGGCACGGCUGCGCAAGGCCCAGCAGGCCCGUGUGCAAUGUUCCUCUGACAGUCCCGGCUGCUGUUGCCACGGUGAUAAUGGCUGUGCCGUGUCCUUAUCUAUCAACCAACAGUAAGAGAAGCGCCGCAGUCGAGAUAUUGUUCAGCAGACGGAGUGGUUUCUGCUGGACACUAAGUACUGCUACAGAU